GACGAACGCUGGCGGCGUGCUUAACACAUGCAAGUCGAACGGAAAGGCCCUGCUUUUGUGGGGUGCUCGAGUGGCGAACGGGUGAGUAACACGUGAGUAACCUGCCCUUGACUUUGUGAUAACUUCAGGAAACUGGGGCUAAUACCGGAUAGGAUCUCCUGCUGCAUGGUGGUGGUUGGAAAGUUUCGGCGGUUGGGGAUGGACUCGCGGCUUAUCAGCUUGUUGGUGGGGUAGUGGCUUACCAAGGCUUUGACGGGUAGCCGGCCUGAGAGGGUGACCGGCCACAUUGGGACUGAGAUACGGCCCAGACUCCUACGGGAGGCAGCAGUGGGGAAUAUUGCACAAUGGGCGGAAGCCUGAUGCAGCAACGCCGCGUGCGGGAUGACGGCCUUCGGGUUGUAAACCGCUUUCGACUGUGACGAAGCGUGAGUGGCGGUAAUGGGUAAAGAAGCACCGGCUAACUACGUG
rnacentral:rRNA from 1 species